rnacentral:rRNA from 1 species
CCUACGGGAGGCAGCAGUGAGGAAUAUUGGUCAAUGGACGCAAGUCUGAACCAGCCAUGCCGCGUGCAGGAAGACGGCUCUAUGAGUUGUAAACUUCUUUUGUACGGGGGUAAACUCAGAUACGCGUAUCGCUCUGAAAGUAUCUUACGAAUAAGGAUCGGCUAACUCCGUGCCAGCAGCCGCGGUAAUACGGAGGAUUCAAGCGUUAUCCGGAUUUAUUGGGUUUAAAGGGUGCGUAGGCGGGAGGAUAAGUUAGAGGUGAAAUCCGGAGGCUCAACUUCGGAAUUGCUGCUGAUACUGUUAGGCUAGAGAGCAGUAGAGGUAGGCGGAAUGCAUGGUGUAGCGGUGAAAUGCUUAGAGAUCAGAAAGAACACCGAUUGCGAAGGCAGCCUACUAAGCUAUUUCUGACGUUGAGGCACGAAAGCGUGGGGAGCAAACAGGAUUAGAUACCCGGGUAGUC